rnacentral:rRNA from 1 species
CCUACGGGUGGCAGCAGUGAGGAAUAUUGGUCAAUGGACGAGCGUCUGAACCAGCCAAGUAGCGUGAAGGAUGAAUGCCCUAUGGGUUGUAAACUUCUUUUAUAAAGGAAUAAAACGAGGCACGUGUGCCUUUUUGCAUGUACUUUAUGAAUAAGGAUCGGCUAACUCCGGUCCAGCAGCAGCGGUAAUACGGAGGAUCCGAGCGUUAUCCGGAUUUAUUGGGUUUAAAGGGAGCGUAGAUGGGUUGUUAAGUCAGUUGUGAAAGUUUGCGGCUCAACCGUAAAAUUGCAAUUGAUACUGGCAGUCUUGAGUACAGUUGAGGUAGGCGGAAUUCGUGGUGUAGCGGUGAAAUGCUUAGAUAUCACGAAGAACCCCGAUUGCGAAGGCAGCUUACUAAACUGUGACUGACAUUGAUGCUCGAAAGUGUGGGUAGCAAACAGGAUUAGAUACCCUUGUAGUC